rnacentral:rRNA from 1 species
AGUGAACGCUGGCGGUAGGCCUAACACAUGCAAGUCGAACGGCAGCACAGUAAGAGCUUGCUCUUACGGGUGGCGAGUGGCGGACGGGUGAGGAAUACAUCGGAAUCUACUUUUUCGUGGGGGAUAACGUAGGGAAACUUACGCUAAUACCGCAUACGACCUACGGGUGAAAGCAGGGGAUCUUCGGACCUUGCGCGAUUGAAUGAGCCGAUGUCGGAUUAGCUAGUUGGCGGGGUAAAGGCCCACCAAGGCGACGAUCCGUAGCUGGUCUGAGAGGAUGAUAAGCCACACGGGAACUGAGACACGGUCCAGACUCCUACGGGAGGCAGCAGUGGGGAAUGUGGGACAAUGGGCGCAAGCCUGAUCCAGCCAUACCGCGUGGGUGAAGAAGGCCUUCGGGUUGUAAAGCCCUUUUGUUGGGAAAGAAAAGCAGCAGGUUGAUACCCCGCUGUUCUGACGGUACCGAAAGAAUAAGCACCGGCUAACUUCGUG